rnacentral:rRNA from 1 species
UACGAAGGGGGCUAGCGUUGCUCGGAAUCACUGGGCGUAAAGGGUGCGUAGGCGGGUCUUUAAGUCAGGGGUGAAAUCCUGGAGCUCAACUCCAGAACUGCCUUUGAUACUGAGGAUCUUGAGUUCGGGAGAGGUGAGUGGAACUGCGAGUGUAGAGGUGAAAUUCGUAGAUAUUCGCAAGAACACCAGUGGCGAAGGCGGCUCACUGACGCCGACUACUGACGCG